rnacentral:rRNA from 1 species
UACGUAGGUGGCAAGCGUUGUCCGGAUUUACUGGGCGUAAAGGGAGCGUAGGCGGACUUUUAAGUGAGAUGUGAAAUACCCGGGCUCAACUUGGGUGCUGCAUUUCAAACUGGAAGUCUAGAGUGCAGGAGAGGAGAAUGGAAUUCCUAGUGUAGCGGUGAAAUGCGUAGAGAUUAGGAAGAACACCAGUGGCGAAGGCGAUCCUCUGGACUGUAACUGACGCUGAGGCUCGAAAGCGUGGGGAGCAAACAGGAUUAGAUACCCU